rnacentral:rRNA from 1 species
CAACCUGCCGUCUACUCUUGGACAGCCUUCUGAAAGGAAGAUUAAUACAAGAUGGCAUCAUGAGUUCACAUGUUCACAUGAUUAAAGGUAUUCCGGUAGACGAUGGGGAUGCGUUCCAUUAGAUAGUAGGCGGGGUAACGGCCCACCUAGUCUUCGAUGGAUAGGGGUUCUGAGAGGAAGGUCCCCCACAUUGGAACUGAGACACGGUCCAAACUCCUACGGGAGGCAGCAGUGAGGAAUAUUGGUCAAUGGGCGAGAGCCUGAACCAGCCAAGUAGCGUGAAGGAUGACUGCCCUAUGGGUUGUAAACUUCUUUUAUAAAGGAAUAAAGUCGGGUAUGCAUACCCGUUUGCAUGUACUUUAUGAAUGAGGAUCGGCUAACUCCGUGCCAGCAGCCGCGGUAAUACGGAGGAUCCGAGCGUUAUCCGGAUUUAUUGGGUUUAAAGGGAGCGUGGAUGGAUGUUUAAGUCAGUUGUGAAAGUUUGCGGCUCAACCGUAAAAUUGCAGUUGAUACUGGAUAUCUUGAGUGCAGUUGAGGCAGGCGGAAUUCGUGGUGUAGCGGUGAAAUGCUUAGAUAUCACGAAGAACUCCGAUUG